rnacentral:lncRNA from 1 species
UUUUGCACUGCAUUUUCCUUGUGAUAUGGGAGAUCGCAACACAGAGACGACCAGAUGCAUACGAAAGACUACCAGCGGAGAGUGAUCUGUGCCAUAUUUCUCUUAACCUCUCAGGUAUUCAAGAAAUGGCAACAUCCAGAAGAAGACGCCAUCUUAUCCAGCACGUUAUGGGUACACUGGUGGCUCCCGCCCCUGCAUCCUACGACCACCGUGUACUCACUAUGUUCACUAGGGAGUUCAAAGCCUUUGGCAACUCCUGCCACAGCGUCCUGCCACCACCGUGUCCUGACUACGUCCACUAGGGAGUUGGCAGCCUUCGUGAUGCUGCCAAGCAGGCUGGAAGCUGACAGAAAGAUCGAGGUUGCCUCGAAAUUUUACCCAAGCCGUUCCACACACUUGGGCCAGGCGUCUUGCAAACGACGUAUAACCAGGCUCAACGCAUGAUGUCGAGUGAGUCCGGAGAUCGAGGCAACCUGCUGUGCAAGCAGCGUGCAACCUUUGGUGACCCUCAACAUGUUCCACCUAUUUCACAACUGCACACAGCUUCCACCUAUCCAAACCGCAUCACCAGCUGUGGUCACUCAUCGAGCCAUGGAUGAAUGUUGGGGUGGAGUGAUUUGAAGAGACAUUCUUUUUGUCUCUUCAAAUCCUUAGCAAAUACUUGUGUUAUUAUAAUUAAUAUGUGUCUUUAGUGCCUAGUUUUUAAUGGUUCCUUUCUAUUAGAAUUCUCGCCAUCGAUUCCUGCUAUUAUAAUGUAUGUCUGUCUUUAUGCACAGUUUUUCAUAGUUCUUUUGUACUUGUCUAUGUAAUUGAUAGGUUCACACUUCUUGUUAUACAGAAGGCUAAAAUCCAAACUUACGGCAUUUUUUUCUUCCUUUUGAUAAUAUACAGCACUGCAAAGUGUUCAAGAAAUGCAACCCAACGUGGGCUCUGGUGCAGGAAAAAUUUAAGAGCAAUAUAGAGUACUUAUUUCAAACACCCAUUAUUUUUGGAAAAGUAAAGAAUAUAGGAGCACAAAAAAGAAAAUAUUAAACUAGAGAAACAUGAGUUCCCCUCAUAAGUCUGAUAAUAAUGUGACUUCCCUUCACUGCAAAGAUACCAGAAAUAUACUCGCAUACAAGAUUUGAAACAAGAAAGCUAUGAUGCCCUUGGCAUUUCUCAGUGCCUAUUUGUCACACUGACGAAUGUCAAAGGCAUCGUAGGUUUCAUGUACACAUUGGUUGUGUUACACUUUUGAGCAUUGCAUUUCUCAAACACAAAGGUUUACAGCAGUGCUUUAAAUAGCAAAUGCAUUUCCUAAUUUAUUAGUGCAAGAGGAACAGUACAGAUCAUGUAAAAAUUAUUUUACAGACUAGUAUAUGUCCAUGGAUGCACGCUUCUGAUGACGUAGCAGUGACGUGGUCAUGGGAUGGAUGACUUUAUUUCAGAUUUAAAUAUUGGCUUCCAGGUGUGGGUUAGUCUCCUACACUGAAUAGUCAAGGUCAGAGCCCAUUUACUAGAGAAAGUGAAUUAAACUAGGAAUUAUAAACAUCAAAAGAUCUUCUUUAGGAAAUUAAUGUGACAAUCAGCAAGGUUCUUUGGGCAUUCAUUUCCAAAUUUGUAGGAUAUAUUUUAUGGCUGGUUUCAUUAUUGUGAGAACAAAUAUUUGUUUAUUGUCACACUAGAGUUGGCUGCCCCCAUUUGUAUACAACCCCUUUACAGGCCAAAUAUUCAGUGUGUUACCCUAUUUACUCACAUAAUGAUCGCACUUUAUUGUAAAAAAAAAUUGACUCAAAUUCAGAGGUGCGAUCAUUACGCUGGGUAAAUUUCCCACAAAAAGAAAAAAAUAUAUCCUCUGGCAUUUGCUACGGGAUGACAACAGGUAAACAAAGAGGUGGCUGCCUCUGUAUGUACUGCGGGACACAAAAAAAAAAACAUGGUGACCGGCGGAGCAAGCCGAACGCGCCGAACACGAUUUUUUUUUCUUUUCGUGAGUACAUUACGUGCAUUCAAACAGUUUCUUCCGUAUCAGUAAUGAAUAAUAUCGGCAAGUUUGCAGCAAUAACAUAGCCAUGUCCACUUUGAGGGGACAGAAACAGAUGGGCGCGCUUAGCUGCCUGUGACAUAGGAGCACAUGGCGGGCAUGCUGCGGAAACUGCGGCAUUUGUCUUCACCACUAUCCUAAUAUGGCACGUUUCCGCUAAUGGUCGGUGAAUAUCUUAGCUGCGUUACAAACGUCGGCGAAUGAAUAGGGUACACUUCUAACGUAUCACUGUAAACGUGGCUGCUAUCAUUGCCACUCGCGAUUUGUUGCGUGCCCACAAGUGCAGACGAGAAGAAACGAAAGACGCCUUUUUUGUUGUUUUAGUUGACCACAUCCAUUACAAAGCCUACACAUAAUAAAGGCAAGUUUUGUUGUAGCUUUUUUUUGUCAUAUAAGUGCGGAAAGUGAUGGAAGGAAUGAAAUGGUGCAUCUGCUUAAGAAUGUUUGGUGCGUGCAGACUGCUUGGUUUGUCUUGAAGAGUUGUUCGCAUAGCAGUUGACAGAUGGUAAGCGCGAUCAUUAUUAGCUAGACUUGGCACAUGACAUAUCGCUGCGGCAAGUUUGGGGUGCAAUCUUACACGAGAAAUAAAGAAAUCGAAUUUUGACAUCAGAAUUUAGGGGUGCGAUCAUUACGCGAGUGCAAUCAUUAUGUGAGUGAAUACGGUAUUAGGUUGUUUUUGGUUUUGCGCACUCAAUGUUAAGGGAUGCAAAUGGUGACAUACAACAGAAUGCAAAAAUGACUAAUGAAUGCAAGCAGGGCGUGGGGCUUUUUAGGCAGAUGCGUGCGUGUGCUAUAUAUAAAGCUCCCCAUGGUAUGCCUGAAGGCAUUUUCUAAGACUUUGGUAGAAAACACUGAAAACCACUUAUGAAGAGGAAAUACUCUUCAAAACAACAUUUUUAUAUAUUUGUACUAGAGAUUUGAAUAAACUGUCAUUCAUAAAGUGUUUUAUUAGAUUUGAAUUGUCAUUGAUUUUUGUCUAGCUGCUGUUCUUUAGUUAUGGUCCUACACAGUGGCAAAAUAUUCUUGUGGGCACUUUCCUGGGUAUAAAAUUUUCAGAAAUAGAUUCAUGCUGUAUCUUAUUUAGCUAGUUAUAUACUGCAAAGUGAUGACACCUAUCGAAACGGCUUGUACAAUUACUGGAACUAUGCAAAACAUAUUAGGCCACAUUAAAUAAAUUUACAGAUUGCAAUUUCAAUUAGAUAUCAGCAUUCUGCAUAUCUUGAAUAGUAUGUAUGCCAAAUUUCGUUAGUAUAGGACAAUUAUAAGUGCAAAACGUAAUUGUCAUGCUAUUGUGAGAAAAAGUUUUUGAAGUAUAUUCUAAUUUUUUUUCACAAUAGCAUGAGAAGUAUGCAAGAUUAGUAGGCAGGCCUGUCUGCCUGCCUACUAAUCUUGCAUACUUCUAGUAACUUUACAUGCUGUUUGAAUAGAUAUUGGCACUUUGCAGUCUACAAAGAGCUGAGUUAGCUGCAGCACACUUCUUUUUGGGAAACUUUAAUACACAAGAAAGUGCCUGCAAAUAUGACUAUGUAUUUUGCUGUUGUGUAGGGCAUAACUCGAGAAGCAGCUAAACAAAAACUAAUGGAAUAUAUAAAAUCUGCGUGAAGAACUCUACAAUUGGCUCUCUUUUCAAACCUCUAGUACAAAUAAUAAAAAUAUUUCGAGUAAUAUUCAAUCAGCAAAAUGUUCCCCUUGCUACAGUGACCUACAACAUAGCGACAAAAGUUUAAGGGAAGUCCUCUUGUCAAAGCGACUCUGGGCUGUCUUCCCAGGGGCUUCUGUUAAAGGCUGCAUUUUCCUGCAUUUGCCAGGAGAGCAAUACAAAAAUGUUUGUGAAUGUGGAAAUGGUAUUGGCACACUAACAGAAAAAAAGACAGUUCUGUGAAAUGUAGACUUGAUUAUAACUUUGUUCGACAUUUACAUUCCGACUGCAUAUAUUUAUUUCGUGUUUUGUACUGAGUGUUUCAGCGGUGACUGCCGCUAAUUAUUGAACAUAACUGCUUCAUGACAGUGCAACUACCAGAAAUUUAUAGCAGUGGCACGCAUUAGAAUUACAGUACUCAAUGACGUCUACUUUGUAAGAACUCAGACUAGCACCAGUUCUGAGAUACACAUACCCAAAAGGUAAUGAUCAAAUAGAUUUCUCUUUCACACAGAAUUGUCCCACAAGGCUUACAGAACUCAUUGUUUGUCAUCUUGUACAAGCAGAUUAUGCGCCAGAUGUAAUUUAUGCUCAGUAAAUACAUAAAUCAGUCAUGUGAGGUGUCUCACUUUAGGUUGCAAGUUCGAACUUCUUUUAAUCUUGCUUGUUUUUAUUUUGUUUGCUUUGUGAGCAUGAGUGAGUUGGUGACCUUGGCACAUAUUGUCAAAACUGUUUCUUCAUCACUGAGAAUAACAAAGUUUCAUUUACACAUGAAAUUCCCAGUUACUGAUAUGGUAGGCUUCGAGCUUAAUUCCCUUAUCUUUCUUAUGUUUAUGUACCAAGUAGUUUUAUCGUUCAUUGAAACAUAUCCAUGCAGUGCAGAGUGGGCACCCAAAUUGUAAAUAUCUGUUCUUGCUUUCUACCCUGCUCUGGUGUUUUCAAAAUCUAGCAUUGGUGCAAUGGCCUGUCUGCACCUGCAGAAAAGUAGUGAAGUGGCUAAAGUUAAAGGUCAACAACAUAAUUAAGAUACAAAGCAAAAAUAUAAGUUCGGAAUUGUCCCCCAUAACCAGAGUUUUGCUUAGAAUUUUAAAAAAAUGGACAUCCUGCUCGGGUGUGAGAGUUGCUUUGGGCACCAAGGGGACUACGUAGCACCUGCGCUAGUGUACAGAACGCAAAAAAAAAGAUCACUCCAGAUUGCAUCGGCAGCGGAAAGUUAAGCACAGAUCUUUUAUUUCACGCACCAUUCAUGUGGCUUAUCAUCUGCUCCUGUUGUAUGGGAACGCAUACAUUGGGAAGACAAUCCUUUGCGCCAUUGUUACCUUAGCGGGACACCAGAGAAAGGUAGAAAUAAAUAAAAUCGAGAACAGGUAUUCAUACUUGGUUGCACACAGUGUAUUAUCUGGAAAUGUUUCACUCUACGAUAGACUACUGUGAUAGAUAAUCAUAAUGACAAAGACAAAAGAAUUAAAAGAGGUAUGUGUCACUCAUCCGUCCGUGACCUCCAGUGUUUAUAGAAACACUUCUUUCUGUAUAUGUGCCAAGCCGUAGGGAGGCUUUAUGUAACUCAGUCAUGCUUGCUUAGUUAAAGAUUGCAAUAAGGGAAAUCACAAGAACAUUGUAUGAGUGAUUUGUAAAUGUGGCACCUAAUGUAACUUAUUCAUGUAUGGGCUGAGGAUAGAUUACAGCCAGUGCAUAAUGUGCUCUUACAGGAUGACUUGUGAUGAGUAAAAGAAGCCUUCCUCACGUCGUCCUCUUUGUUUCUUCUGGAUCUUUGUGCACUAUGUGCAUUGUUACAGCUGCGUGCAUGUAGCGGGUUAUAGUUUAUGUGUUCUGCUUCCUUCCUUGUCCUCAUAAUUCAUGCGCCAUCUUUGCCGUAACAAAAUACAGCUACCUGUGCUUCUUAUUUUUUCAAUGUGUUUGCAUUAUGGAAAGUUUUGUAUUAGCGGUUAUUUCUACCUGUGAAAUUGUCUGUGUCAGCUAUUAUACUUAGUCUUGCAAAAGUAUGUUUCUCAACAUAAAUAAAUGAUCAGUAUAAGUGUUGCUGUAUUUAUUUUUGUAAUUUUGUCAGUUAUGAAGUUUUUAUACACUGUUGCAUGUUGUAUGACAGAAUAAAAUUGAUGCACAACUUUUUAA